rnacentral:rRNA from 1 species
CAGUAGGGAAUCUUCCGCAAUGGACGAAAGUCUGACGGAGCAACGCCGCGUGAGUGAUGAAGGUUUUCGGAUCGUAAAGCUCUGUUGUUAGGGAAGAACAAGUACCGUUCGAAUAGGGCGGUACCUUGACGGUACCUAACCAGAAAGCCACGGCUAACUACGUGCCAGCAGCCGCGGUAAUACGUAGGUGGCAAGCGUUGUCCGGAAUUAUUGGGCGUAAAGGGCUCGCAGGCGGUUUCUUAAGUCUGAUGUGAAAGCCCCCGGCUCAACCGGGGAGGGUCAUUGGAAACUGGGGAACUUGAGUGCAGAAGAGGAGAGUGGAAUUCCACGUGUAGCGGUGAAAUGCGUAGAGAUGUGGAGGAACACCAGUGGCGAAGGCGACUCUCUGGUCUGUAACUGACGCUGAGGAGCGAAAGCGUGGGGAGCGAACAGGAUUAGAUACCCUGGUAGUCCACGCCGUAAACGAUGAGUGCUAAGUGUUAGGGGGUUUCCGCCCCUUAGUGCUGCAGCUAACGCAUUAAGCACUCCGCCUGGAGACUAA